rnacentral:lncRNA from 1 species
AUUUUCGUGAGGAUCUUAAUGCAAUUUUUCCUUGCAAAGACUUAACUUCAUAUGAGAAAAUGACUAUAAGCCUAGAAAAAGAACCCAUCAGGCAAUGGUAAAAGUCUGCAUUCUAGGCCCUACGCCACGUAUUAGUACGAGUCUGCGAAAUCCUUAUUCAACAGUUCUCGGAAUAUCUUCUCCCCUCCUCUGAUGUCCUUUGCAAAGUGUGGUUUACUGAAUCCCCAUGGAGAGCCAUCUGUUGGACCUAAAUGCUCCUUCUCUUUCAAAGCAAAGUGAACAAAAGUGGAUCUAAUCGGAAUCAUGUCAUGAAAUAAUACCACUAAUUAGGAAAAAAUUUCAUUGCACAAAACCUAGACAAUGCAUAUAAGCAAAAGGAAGACAAUAAAAAAUCAUCUAGAAUCCUCCCACCCAGAGAAAAACACACUAUUUUGGUUCCAGUCUUUUUUCUUCCAUGUGUUGGUGUGUGGGUGUGGUUUGUUUCACAAGAUUUAAAUCACGAAGUACAUAGUGAUUUGCAAUCAGCUCUUUCAUUUGACCAUAUGUCGCAAACACUUUCGUACUGCAGUAUUACAUUUUAAAUAGAGGAAACCAAUGGUCUUUGUAUAAGACGUACUUUGGAUGAUUUUUCAAGGUGGCUAAAGAGACAAUGUUUUAUUCUGGCCAACCAGAGUGUUAAACAUACUUGGUGGUCCCUUGACUGAUAACCGGGCACUUGAGUCAAGAUAGGAGUGCCUAACAGUAACCACCCAUCAAGUGGGACAGACUGAAGUAAAGAGGGCCCUUUAGGCUAAGAACAUCUGAAAAGUGCCUGGGGCUUAGACCAUUGCAGUCCCAAUAGGAAACUCUAUUCACCAAAUCCCGCCCAACAGGAGCCCCUGUUCUCCCUGGGUCAUGCCUCCGUUAAUGACUUCUUGAGAAGAUUCUAUAAUUUGGCUGUCCUUUUCCACUAUAAAAAUUCAGUUCAGUUUCAAGGAAAAGAACCAGAGUGACUUAAGUGGAGGAA